GUCCCAUUCGUCUAGUGGCGUAGGACACCGCCCUUUCACGGCGGUAACAGGGGUUCGAGUCCCCUAGGGGACGCCA
rnacentral:tRNA from 1 species